rnacentral:rRNA from 1 species
AGCGAACGCUGGCGGCAGGCCUAACACAUGCAAGUCGAACGAAGUCUUCGGACUUAGUGGCGGACGGGUGAGUAACACGUGGGAACGUGCCUUUAGGUUCGGAAUAACUCAGGGAAACUUGUGCUAAUACCGAAUGUGCCCUUCGGGGGAAAGAUUUAUCCCCUUUAGAGUGGCCCGCGUCUGAUUAGCUAGUUGGUGGGGUAAUGGCCCACCAAGGCUACGAUCAGUAGCUGGUCUGAGAGGAUGACCAGCCACAUUGGGACUGAGACACGGCCCAAACUCCUACGGGAGGCAGCAGUGGGGAAUCUUGCGCAAUGGGCGAAAGCCUGACGCAGCCAUGCCGCGUGGAUGAUGAAGGUCUUAGGAUUGUAAAAUCCUUUCACCGGUGAAGAUAAUGACUGUAGCCGGAGAAGAAGCCCCGGCUAACUUCGUGCCAGCCGCCGCAGUAA